UUACCAGGUUGAGUCGAAAGUUUUUUCAUAUUUCAAGCUUUAAUUGAUAUUCCAAACAAAUUACAUACGAAAAGCGUUUAUUCAUCAAAAUAUAUUCCAUCAUAUUCUAUUGUUUCCCUUACGAAAUACGG